rnacentral:rRNA from 1 species
AUUGAACGCUGGCGGCAGGCCUAACACAUGCAAGUCGAGCGGAUGAAGGGAGCUUGCUCCUGGAUUCAGCGGCGGACGGGUGAGUAAUGCCUAGGAAUCUGCCUGGUAGUGGGGGAUAACGUCCGGAAACGGGCGCUAAUACCGCAUACGUCCUGAGGGAGAAAGUGGGGGAUCUUCGGACCUCACGCUAUCAGAUGAGCCUAGGUGGGAUUAGCUAGUUGGUGGGGUAAAGGCCUACCAAGGCGACGAUCCGUAACUGGUCUGAGAGGAUGAUCAGUCACACUGGAACUGGGACACGGUCCAGGCUCCUACGGGAGGCAGCAGUGGGGAAUAUUGGACAAUGGGCGAAAGCCUGAUCCAGCCAUGCCGCGUGUGUGAAGAAGGUCUUCGGAUUGUAAAGCACUUUAAGUUGGGAGGAAGGGCAGUAAGUUAAUACCUUGCUGUUUUGACGUUACCAACAGAAUAAGCACCGGCUAACUUCGUG